UAUGACCAUAUCACAUUCAAACAUCGGUUCUCGUUCGAUUACCAAAGUUAAGCAACAUCGAGUUUGGUCAGUACUUAGAUGGGUGACCGCUUGGAAAUACCAAGUUCCGUA